rnacentral:lncRNA from 1 species
CACUGGGGAAACCACAGCACUUUGGCUCCUAACAGCCUAUAAUUUCAUUUUCUCUACCCAGACAGAUGAUUAUUCUUUUGUGCUUCAUUUAAUUGUGGCCCACCAAAGGAAUUUGCAAGGCUUAGUCAACACUCAGAGAAAGGCUUUUUAACUUGCCUUAAGGCAAUGACAUUUGCCCUUUACAAACCAUCUGCAGUGGAUGGAGAGAGGAGCUCAGAUUCCUUCCCAGAAGGAUGAUGGCGUAGAAGAUGUAAUCAUAUCUACACCAAAACAUUGUGGUAACACUACGUAUAGGAAAUACAAAAACCUUAAUCAGACAAGGCAGAGAGAAGGAAGAGAAGAUGAUAUCAAAGACUGGAUGACCUCAAAAGUCCCCCUCCAACCUGAACGAUCCUGUGAUCCCAAAAAGACAAUCCACCUUAAUUUAAUAGAAGUUGAGCUGAGGAACAGACGUGCUGUGAAAACUCAUUGCCCUCGGGUGUCGCGGCAGCACCAGAAACCUGCACUGCUUUGAGCUCGUCUUUCUCCCGCUCGGCAGUCAUUGCUCAUCCUUCUGCCUCCCGCUUGGCCAUCUGUCUCCUUCCAGCCUUCCACUCUCCACCUCACUAGUCCACAUUCUCCACCUCCAGUACCAUCCACUUCAAGCACCCCACUCACCAGCUUUUGUGAGUCUCAGCCCCUUCUCCCACAUCACCUCUUUGACCUCAACAAGUUAUUUUGAGAAAGUUCCACCACGAAAAGUUCAUCUGCCCUUCAUCCUUUGGUGUUGCCCGUCAAAGUCCUCAUCAGCGUUCUCCUCUCCAUCGAUCCCACCUGUAUUGCCGGAGAUUUUCCUGCGGCCGCCCUGCUGCCCUCUGCUCACGCUGGGUAAGGAGAGAAGGUUGUAGGCAGAGCAGGGACCUUCUGCUACCCCUCAGAUCUAGCAGGUGACUGCAGGCCCUGUGCUGGCUAAAUCUGCUGUUGAAACAAUCCAGACACUGUGUCACCCAGCGGAAGGAACAGCGAGAGCCAUCACAAAAGCAAGGGACAGAAACAGCCCACUAAAUGAUGUUUUCCAGUCCAUUUAUGCCUGUCCUUUUGUGGCUGAUGAUAAAAAGAGACACUUGGAAUAUUCCAGCAGAAUAAAAUUAGCAGGGAUGUGAGUAUCA